GAAGGGUGGAGUCAGGGGAGAUGCCAGCCUGCUGCCCAAGGAACAACAAGAUGUUAGCAGACCAGAAAUGCCGCGGCUACGUGACAACAUACAUAUUUAUAAAAAUGGAUUGAGUUAAGUUAUAAGAGCUAGCUAGCAAGAAGCCUGACCCAUAGACCAUACAGUUUGCCUGCAGAAUCCUCCAGCAUUUGCAGCUGUAGUCACCGUGUCUGAACUCAGCCGACAAAUCGUCCUGUGUGCCAAGCAGAUGCUUCCCUUUGUGGUUAUGGCUCAACUUGAAGACCAGUUUUCCUUCCUCGGAGGAAAUGUCAACAGGGUCAUAAAGUAGAAGUGUCUCCAAGCAGCCAAGAACACAUCCAGGAGCUGUGGAGAUGUGGGGGAGUAAGUGUGGAGAAACAUUUCUACACGAAGCACCCAGACCUCUCCGUUCUGUUUUCUCUUCUUUUUGUCAUCUGAAAGGUCACUUCACAGCCCAUGAGAGUACCUGUUUGAAUUAAUUUUUUUAUUCCUUCAGAGUUCCACACAUGGAUAUAAUAAAGUUCAGUUAUUUUCA